rnacentral:lncRNA from 1 species
GCGGCGGCCGGGCAGCGGCGGAAGAAGAGGCGCACCGAGAGCAGCGCCAUGCAGGCGCCGCGGUCCUGGAAGGCCAGGGCGGCCAGGUGGCCGUGGCCGUGUCGGCGUCCGACUCGUGGUAGAACACCGAGAAGGUCUCCUUGCAGCUCCGCGUCCAGCGCGCUCAGCUCCUCCCACUGCGGGACACACGGACACACGGACACACGGACACACGGACACACGGACACACGGACACACGGACACACGGACACGGGGACGGCAGGUGUCUCACCUGGCCCGGCGUCCCACCUGUCCAGGUGUCUCACCUGUCCCACCUGUCCGUGUGUCCCACCUGUCCCACCUGUCCAGGUGUCCCACCUGUCCCACCUGUCUCACCUGUCCCACCUGUCCGUGUGUCCCACCUGUCCGUGUGUCCCACCUGUCCGUGUGUCCCACCUGUGUCACCUGUCCCAGGUGUCCCCAGGUGUCCCCAGGUGUCCCCAGGUGUCCCUAGGUGUCCCACCUGUCCCACCUGUCCCUGUUCCACCUGUCCCACCUGUCCCACCUGUCCCACCUGUCCGUGUGUCCCACCUGUCCGUGUGUCCCACCUGUCCCACCUGUCCCACCUGUCCGUGUGUCCCACCUGUCCGUGUGUCCCACCUGUCCCUCCCCCUCGGGAUGAACCGUCCAGCGCAGCUCGCUCGUCUCCAGCCGCGUGUCCAGCAGCGUCUCUGGGGGGUCAGUCCCAAAAUCACUGAAUCCCACCCCAAAAACACCCAAAUCACCCCAAAAACUGAAAAUUCCACCCCAAAAACAACCAAAUCCACCCCAAAAUCACCCAAAUCACCCCAAAAACUGAAAAUUCCACCCCAAAACCAACAAAUCCCACCCCAAAAACACCCAAAUCACCCCAAAAUCACCAAAAUUCACCCCAAAAACUGAAAAUUCCACCCCAAAACCAACAAAUCCCACCCCCAAAACACCCAAAUCACCCCAAAAACUGAAAAUUCCACCCCAAAAACAACCAAAUCCACCCCAAAAACACCCAAAUCACCCCAAAAACUGAAAAUUCCACCCCAAAACCAA